GAGUUUGAUCAUGGCUCAGGAUGAACGCUGGCGGUAUGCUUAACACAUGCAAGUCGAACGAGAAUUUUUAAUUCUAGUGGCGAACGGGUGCGUAAUACAUGAGAAUCUGCCCUUAGGAGGGGAAUAACUGCUGGAAACGGCUGCUAACUCCCCAUAUGCCGAGAGGUAAAAUAGUUUAAACUGCCUAAGGAUGAGCUCAUGCCUGAUUAGCUAGUUGGUAAGGUAAUGGCUUACCAAGGCCACGAUCAGUAGCUGGUUUGAGAGAACGAUCAGCCACACUGGGACUGAGACACGGCCCAGACUCCUCCGGGAGGCAGCAGUGAGGAAUUUUCCGCAAUGGGCGAAAGCCUGACGGAGCAAUACCGCGUGGGGGAUGAAGGAUUUUGGUCUGUAAACCUCUUUUCUCAAGAAAGAAGUUCUGACGGUACUUGAGGAAUAAGCAUCGGCUAACUCCGUGCCAGCAGCCGCGGUAAUACGGGGGAUGCAAGCGUUAUCCGGAUUUAUUGGGCGUAAAGCGCCUGUAGGUUGUUUAAUAAGUCUGUUGUUAAAGACUAGGGCUCAACCCUGGGAAAGCAAUGGAAACUGAUAAACUUGAGUAUGGCAGGGGUAGAGGGAAUUUCUAGUGUAGCGGUGAAAUGCGUAGAUAUUAGAAAGAACACCGGUGGCGAAAGCGCUCUACUGGACCAUUACUGACACUCAGAGGCGAAAGCUAGGGGAGCGAAAGGGAUUAGAUACCCCUGUAGUCCUAGCCGUAAACGAUGGAUACUAGAUGUUGUGUUAUUUAUACAGUAUCGUAGCUAACGCGUUAAGUAUCCCGCCUGGGGGAGUACGCUCGCAAGGGUGAAACUCAAAGGAAUUGACGGGGGCCCGCACAAGCGGUGGAGCAUGUGGUUUAAUUCGAUGCAACGCGAAGAACCUUACCAGGGCUUGACAUACUACAAAUCUCUUUGAAACGAGAGAGUGCCUUCGGGAAUGUAGAUACAGGUGGUGCAUGGCUGUCGUCAGCU
rnacentral:rRNA from 1 species